GAUGAACGCUGGCGGCGUGCCUAAUACAUGCAAGUCGAGCGAACAGACGAGGAGCUUGCUCCUCUGACGUUAGCGGCGGACGGGUGAGUAACACGUGGAUAACCUACCUAUAAGACUGGGAUAACUUCGGGAAACCGGAGCUAAUACCGGAUAAUAUAUUGAACCGCAUGGUUCAAUAGUGAAAGACGGUUUUGCUGUCACUUAUAGAUGGAUCCGCGCCGCAUUAGCUAGUUGGUAAGGUAACGGCUUACCAAGGCGACGAUGCGUAGCCGACCUGAGAGGGUGAUCGGCCACACUGGAACUGAGACACGGUCCAGACUCCUACGGGAGGCAGCAGUAGGGAAUCCUCCGCAAAGGGCGAAAGCCUGACGGAGCAACGCCGCGUGAGUGAUGAAGGUCUUCGGAUCGUAAAACUCUGUUAUUAGGGAAGAACAAAUGUGUAAGUAACUAUGCACGUCUUGACGGUACCUAAUCAGAAAGCCACGGCUAACUACGUG
rnacentral:rRNA from 1 species